rnacentral:rRNA from 1 species
AAUGGGUCAGCGACUUAUAUUCUGUAGCAAGGUUAACCGAAUAGGGGAGCCGAAGGGAAACCGAGUCUUAACUGGGCGUUAAGUUGCAGGGUAUAGACCCGAAACCCGGUGAUCUAGCCAUGGGCAGGUUGAAGGUUGGGUAACACUAACUGGAGGACCGAACCGACUAAUGUUGAAAAAUUAGCGGAUGACUUGUGGCUGGGGGUGAAAGGCCAAUCAAACCGGGAGAUAGCUGGUUCUCCCCGAAAGCUAUUUAGGUAGCGCCUCGUGAAUUCAUCUCCGGGGGUAGAGCACUGUUUCGGCAAGGGGGUCAUCCCGACUUACCAACCCGAUGCAAACUGCGAAUACCGGA